CAACCACUCCGGUAAGAUGCAAAUCUUUACUGAUUUGAACAUUAAAAGCCUGCAAAGUUGUAUAUAAACAAAAUCUAUGAGACCAGACUCCAGAGUCAAAACCAACACAACAAAUUCCACUCAAGAGUAUAGACGACUGUCAUAAUUGCAAACAUAUACGGUUUAAGAGAGUUCUUAAACUAACUUUUGCAGCAUUUGGCAAGCCAAGGAAAACCC
rnacentral:lncRNA from 1 species